AACGAACGCUGGCGGCAUGCCUAACACAUGCAAGUCGAACGAGACCUUCGGGUCUAGUGGCGCACGGGUGCGUAACGCGUGGGAACCUGCCCUUAGGUUCGGAAUAACUCCCCGAAAGGGGUGCUAAUACCGGAUAAUGUCUUCGGACCAAAGAUUUAUCGCCUUUGGAUGGGCCCGCGUUGGAUUAGCUAGUUGGUAGGGUAAAAGCCUACCAAGGCGACGAUCCAUAGCUGGUCUGAGAGGAUGAUCAGCCACACUGGGACUGAGACACGGCCCAGACUCCUACGGGAGGCAGCAGUGGGGAAUAUUGGACAAUGGGCGAAAGCCUGAUCCAGCAAUGCCGCGGGAGUGAUGAAGGCCUUAGGGUUGUAAAGCUCUUUUACCCGGGAUGAUAAUGACAGUACCGGGAGAAUAAGCUCCGGCUAACUCC
rnacentral:rRNA from 1 species